UGUACAGGUGCUGCAUGGCUGUCGUCAGCUCGUGUCGUGAGAUGUUCGGUUAAGUCCGCUAACGAGCGCAACCCUCGCUGUGUGUUUACAAGUGUCACACGGAACUGCCGGUCAUAAACCGGAGGAAGGUGGGGAUGACGUCAAGUCAGCAUGGCCUUUAUAUCCUGGGCUACACACACGCUACAAUGGGAAGGGACAAUAGGUUGCGAAGCCGCGAGGCGGAGCCAAUCCAGCAAAACUUCCCUCAGUUCAGAUUGCAGGCUGCAACCCGCCUGCAUGAAGUUGGAGUUGCUAGUAAACGCAGGUCAGCCAUACUGCGUUGAAUACGUUCCCGGGGCUU
rnacentral:rRNA from 1 species